CCUACGGGAGGCAGCAGUCGAGAAUCAUUCACAAUGGGGGAAACCCUGAUGGUGCGACGCCGCGUGGGGGAAUGAAGGUCUUCGGAUUGUAAACCCCUGUCAUGUGGGAGCAAAUUAAAAAGAUAGUACCACAAGAGGAAGAGACGGCUAACUCUGUGCCAGCAGCCGCGGUAAUACAGAGGUCUCAAGCGUUGUUCGGAAACACUGGGCGUAAAGCGUGCGUAGGCUGUUUCGUAAGUCGUGUGUGAAAGGCGCGGGCGGAACCCGCGGACGGCACAUGAUACUGCGAGACUAGAGUAAUGGAGGGGGAACCGGAAUGCUCGGUGUAGCAGUGAAAUGCGUAGAUAUCGAGAGGAACACUCGUGGCGAAGGCGGGUUCCUGGACAUUAACUGACGCUGAGGCACGAAGGCCAGGGGAGCGAAAGGGAUUAGAUACCCGAGUAGUC
rnacentral:rRNA from 1 species